ensembl:lncRNA
UUUUUCCAUUUCGUUUUUUUUUUAAAUUACAGUAUUAAAAAUUCUACCCUACGCAGCACACUCACUAUCACCCAUUCAAAGCAGUGGAAACAGAGUUCCCAUCCGCUGCCAAACCUCCUUCUGGUUGUGUUCAAAGACGCCCAUUCCCAAAUCGCGGGACGCUAGGUGGGAAGAACCGUGUUGACCAAUGAAGGGAAAGGAACAACACCCGAAACUACGGGAAAGGCAGUGAGGAAAGUUAAGGCAGACAAACUUACCGGUUCCGAGUCCUGUUUUUUCGUCUCAGCCUCGUUGGCUCGGCCGAAGAACCACACCGAGGACAGCACGUCCGAAGCCAGGAUGAAACUGCCGGGGCAUUCCUGCCUUUCACCGUCCAAAGCACGGACAGCCGAGCUCGUAAGGCGGACCGCCGAGGGGGGCGGAACCGACGAAAACUUUGCUGGCACGAGGAAGUCGCGGAGCGGUUCGACCCUGGGAGACGUCUCAGAUUUUCCUCGUGCGCACUGCUCUCCGAACUCCGCUCGAGGCGGAAGCGCCCACCACGUGUCUCUGCCGCCUGGCUUUCUUCAGCGUCACCCAGGUUUGCAGCCCUUGAAUCAACUGAAUGGGGGACCUUCAAACAGAACUGGAAAAAAAAACAGCUGCUAGAUAUUUCACUACCUGGCAAGCAAGAGCUAAAUUAGAAUCUGGAUUCUCUCCCCAUUUCUCACUCUGUUUAUAACUUGCUAAUUCACCUGCUAACCCCAAGGGACAUUUAAAAAAAAGCUUACAAGCAAGAUGUAAAUGCAGACUACGGAAAGAUUCCCACCAGAAAAUUCAAUGGAGUUUAAACCCAAAUAAUCUUAUUAUUUGAGCAUACUUAUAAAUAGCAUACUUAUUUAUAAAAUAUUAUCUGGAAUUCCUGGAAAAAGAUUUUGAUGCUCUGCUAAGAAACAUGAUGCUGGACCUACCACUUCAUUAAGACUAUGCAGAAGCCCAGGUUAAAGCCACAUAUUUCUGACAUCCUAAAGGUGCUUUUCAGGAGGCAACUGGACUUUCUUGUUUUUUCUUUGAAGACAUUUCGUUUCUUAUCCAAGAAGCUUCUUCAGCUCUGACUGGAUGGUGGGGAAGGAUUUAAGCGAAAUGUCCAGUUGCCUCCUGAAAAAACACCUUUGGGACAACCAUGACCUGGAUGACUGAGAAUCUUUACAGACUUUUAGCUAUGCAAUUUGGGAUGAAUUACCCUUUGAACGGUGUGGGAGUAUGAAUGGAUUUCCAGAAAAAAUGCAGGCUACAGGAACUCAGGUGACCCUGAGGACAUAGGUAAACCUCCAAGUGCUUCAACAACCCUGUAAAAGGAUGCAAGUGACCAGCUGUCUGCAAAGAAUAUAAAUCCUUCUAUUCCACACCAUCUGGUCAGAGCUGAAGAAACUUCUUGGAUUAGAAGUAAAAUGUCUUCAAAGAAAAAACAAGAAAGUCCAGUUGCCUCCUGAAAAAGCACCUUUGGGACAAUCAUGACCUGGAUGACUGAGAAUCUCUACAGACUAUUUCUGACAUGUUCUCUGAUAAAGGGCAAAUUGUUAAAAUAAAGCUGACAAAACUGCAGUCAAAUG